rnacentral:rRNA from 1 species
UGGGGAAUUUUGGACAAUGGGCGAAAGCCUGAUCCAGCAAUGCCGCGUGUGUGAAGAAGGCCUUCGGGUUGUAAAGCACUUUUGUCCGGAAAGAAAACGCCGUGGUUAAUACCCGUGGCGGAUGACGGUACCGGAAGAAUAAGCACCGGCUAACUACGUGCCAGCAGCCGCGGUAAUACGUAGGGUGCAAGCGUUAAUCGGAAUUACUGGGCGUAAAGCGUGCGCAGGCGGUCCGCUAAGACAGAUGUGAAAUCCCCGGGCUUAACCUGGGAACUGCAUUGGUGACUGGCGGGCUAGAGUAUGGUAGAGGGGGGUAGAAUUCCACGUGUAACAGUGAAAUGCGUAGAGAUGUGGAGGAAUACCGAUGGCGAAGGCAGCCCCCUGGGCCAAUACUGACGCUCAUGCACGAAAGCGUGGGGAGCAAACAGG